AACGCUGGCGGCGUGCUUUAUACAUGCAAGUCGAACGAGAACGGAUUAUAGCUUGCUAUAAUUGUCAGCUAAGUGGCGCACGGGUGAGUAAUAUAUAGGUAACAUGCCUUCAAGAAGGGGAUAACGUUUGGAAACGGACGCUAAGACCCUAUAUGCCUUUAAAACAUAAGUUUGCAAGGGAAAUAUUAAUAGCUUGAAGAUUGGCCUGUAGAGUAUCAGCUAGUUGGUAAGGUAAAGGCUUACCAAGGCUAUGACACUUAACUGGUUUGAGAGGAUGAUCAGUCACACUGGAACUGAGACACGGUCCAGACUCCUACGGGAGGCAGCAGUAGGGAAUAUUGCACAAUGGAGGGAACUCUGAUGCAGCAACGCCGCGUGGAGGAAGACACAUUUCGGUGCGUAAACUCCUUUUAUAUAGGAAGAUAAUGACGGUACUAUAUGAAUAAGCACCGGCUAACU
rnacentral:rRNA from 1 species